CACUAAGGAAUAGCUGCAGUUCUACGUUACUGGCGCAGAAACUCUAUGGUCCCAAGUGCCAGACCUGCCACAGUUCUACUUCCGGCCUGGUUUGCCCCCCACCGCCGACCUGCCUCGCAGUGCAUCAUGGGGCGCGUCCUGUCAGGCAGCUGUCUGGUCUACAAGGGCUUGGAUGGCUCUGUGAGUUUGGACCUGAAAGCACUUUUAAAAUACACAGUCUUCAAACUGAUAUUUGGGAAUUAAUAGUUUUUGUGACUGUCAAAGACUUGUGAGUAAAAAAUUUUUACUAAUGUCUAGGGAAUGAGAUAACAGUAUUUACUCUUCUCACAUUGAACGGAAGGAUGAAAGCACUCAGCCUCUUCUGUCUUGCUGUUCGUUUGCUCUUGAAGCUUUCAGCAAAGGGCGGGAGGUAGCAAAGGAGGCAGUGGGCUGCACUAAGUGGCGGAGGGUGGACUUUUCUGGCAUCUUGCAAACCCUGUCAGCCGCAGACUGAACAGCUCCUGUGGCGGGUGCCCACAUCUGCGGCGCCUCUGAGAGCACGCCACGCACCAAACACCUGUGGGGUUAGGUCUAUCUGGGAACAGUCAGCCAUGCUCGGGCAUCCCGAUGGUGAAGGGCGGCCCUCUGUGCCCUUGGAGGCUGGCUAAGUCCAAGUGAUAACACGGAUGAGAUCUGUGACCUCUUGAGGCUCCUUGCUUUCCCGUGAUGCUGGGACUGAAAGUCAAGCAGAGUUCAGCCCCUGCUUUCUAAGCCAUCUUGGACACUUGCCAUUUCAGAAGUUAAUCUCAUCCAUCUUGGAGUCUGCCACUUAGCAGCUGUGUGGAAAUACUGCCAGCCUCUAAAAACAUUAAAAUGGUACAGAAAACUGUGCUUUGGACUCAUUAGGGAAUUGAUCACCUUCUAUAUGGAAACUCUUUCAGGCUCCAGAGAUGUGAAAAUGGUAUGAAGCCUAUGUGUUUCACCUGUUGGGGAUCAUUCAUUGGCACCUCCACUUUCAAGAGUACAAAGAUAAUUGAGGUUGGCUGGUUUGCCAUGUCUGAAGUGAACGUCACCAUGCCAUCAAACCCUAGUGCCAAGCCCUAUCUGGAACUGAAAGACACCCAGUAAAGUGUUUGCUGAGUGGCUGAAUAAAUGAAUAAAUGA